UUCUGGUUGAUCCUGGCGGAGGCUACUGCUAUUGGGAUUCGAUUAAGCCAUGCGAGUUGAAUGAAUUUAGAUUCAUGGCGUACGGCUCAGUAACACGUGGAUAACUUACCCUUAGGACUGGGAUAACUCUGGGAAACUGGGGAUAAUACCGGAUAUUAGGCUAUGGCUGGAAUGCUUUGCCUUUGAAAUGUUUCUUGUAUUCGCCUAAGGAUAGAUCUGCGGCUGAUUAGGUCGUUGGUGGGGUAAUGGCCCACCAAGCCUAUGAUCGGUACGGGUUGUGAGAGCAAGAGCCCGGAGAUGGAACCUGAGACAAGGUUCCAGACCCUACGGGGUGCAGCAGGCGCGAAACCUCCGCAAUGUACGAAAGUGCGACGGGGGGAUCCCAAGUGUUAUUCUUAAUAGGAUAACUUUUCAUUAGUGUAAAAAGCUUUUAGAAAUAGAGCUGGGCAAG
rnacentral:rRNA from 1 species